GCCGGGGUCUCCUAGAGCCGUAGGUGGCGGGGAAUCUGGUAGGGAGCAGAUCGCAUAUAUUCGCGAGCUUAAGCCUGGAGUCGAAAUAACUAGAGAGCCUGUGGCCAUUGUGGGCCGCGUGGGUUCAAAUCCCACCCCCGGCGCCA
rnacentral:tRNA from 1 species